UUGCUGACGAGUGGCGGACGGGUGAGUAAUGCUUGGGAAACUGCCUGAUGGAGGGGGAUAACUACUGGAAACGGUAGCUAAUACCGCAUAACGUCGCAAGACCAAAGUGGGGGACCUUCGGGCCUCAUGCCAUCAGAUGUGCCCAGAUGGGAUUAGCUAGUAGGUGGGGUAAUGGCUCACCUAGGCGACGAUCCCUAGCUGGUCUGAGAGGAUGACCAGCCACACUGGGACUGAGACACGGCCCAGACUCC
rnacentral:rRNA from 1 species